UAGGGAAUCUUCCGCAAUGGGCGAAAGCCUGACGGAGCAACGCCGCGUGAGUGAUGAAGGUCUUCGGAUCGUAAAACUCUGUUAUUAGGGAAGAACAAAUGUGUAAGUAACUAUGCACAUCUUGACGGUACCUAAUCAGAAAGCCACGGCUAACUACGUGCCAGCAGCCGCGGUAAUACGUAGGUGGCAAGCGUUAUCCGGAAUUAUUGGGCGUAAAGCGCGCGUAGGCGGUUUUUUAAGUCUGAUGUGAAAGCCCACGGCUCAACCGUGGAGGGUCAUUGGAAACUGGAAAACUUGAGUGCAGAAGAGGAAAGUGGAAUUCCAUGUGUAGCGGUGAAAUGCGCAGAGAUAUGGAGGAACACCAGUGGCGAAGGCGGCUCUCUGGUCUGUAACUGACGCUGAGGCUCGAAAGCGUGGGGAGCGAACAGG
rnacentral:rRNA from 1 species